rnacentral:tRNA from 1 species
AUUUAAAUAGCUUAAUUAAAGCAUGAUAUUGAAGUUAUUAGGAUAAUUAAUUUAAUUAAUUUUUAAAUA